rnacentral:rRNA from 1 species
AUGGUAAAUUACUUAUACCAUCCGCCCGGGAACUACGAGCAUUAGCUUAAAACCCAAAGGACUUGGCGGUGCUUAAUAACCCCCUAGAGGAGCCUGUUCUAGAACCGAUACCCCUCGUUAAACCUCACCCUUUCUAGCUUAUUCCGCCUGUAUACCGCCGUCGCCAGCUUACCCUGUGAAGGUUUCAUAGUAAGCAUAAUUAGUAAAACCCAAAACGUCAGGUCGAGGUGCAGCACACGAAAGGGAAAGAAAUGGGCUACAUUACCUGUUUACAGGUUAAUACGAAAAGUGUACUGAAAAAUACACUAGAAGGAGGAUUUAGUAGUAAGAGGGGAACAGAGUGCCCCACUGAAACCGGCCCUUAAGCGCGCA